AAAUAAUAAUUUUAGACAUCUUUAAUUUUUCAUUUAAAUUAUAAUAAAUGAGAAUUUAGUGUAUGACAGCCAUUUGUGCAUUAUGACAUUCAGAUCAACAUCAGGUAAAAUUGGGAUAAGACAAUCUGCAAAUUCUUUUUCAAAUAAGUCUUCAAAAACUAGGUAAAAAAAAAUAGAAUAACAAAUCACUUACAGGGGCAUAGCUAUUAUAAAAUGAAAAUUUUCCAAGACCAUUUUAUGCAGAAUUUUUUUUUUUUUUUAUUUCGGUCAUAGGAAGUUUGUGCUCAUAGGACUUAUAGACAUUCAUUUACGCAAACCUAUUCAGAAUUCAUUUGAAUAGGGUAAAUUAUGGUUCAUUGAAUACAUAAGCAACACACAUAUUUGUGAGACUGAAUUGACUCAAAAUUGUCAAAAAUCUGCUCUUCGGGUCUUGGCAGAAACAAACUUCUCCAUAACUUUGUCCAAUGAUAUUCACACUGAAAUUCUGAUGAAUAUGCAUUAAUGCUAGCAAUGAUGAUGACCUAUCAUUAUUCAUUGUUAAUUGUACAUAUGUUUUUAACCGACAUACUACACUGAACGAUCUAUCUGCAUUAGUGCUUGUUACCAGGAUUGUCAAUACAAAUGUACUCAAAAUAGUAUCUUUAUACAGCACUGGGCUUGUCACAUCGAAUGUCUCACACAUCCAAGUUGGCGUCUGAUCACAAGGUGUUAUACACCAGCGUGUUCUCAAUGAUGCAUUGAGUGACCUCUCAAUUGAUGUGAAUCGUAGUUUUUUUUAUGAUGCAUGAAACCAAAGUAAGACAACAAUUAAAAGAAGAAUGUGUCUGAAGGACAUUGAAUCCUGGCCUAACUAGAAAACCAUAUAUUGGAUGAGGGCACAAAUCAAACUUGAUCUUUCUUUUAUGGUACUUAGCAUUGUGUAUAAGUUUAAAAACAUUUGGUUGAGGCUUUAUUUAUGCUUUUACAUUCUGGCUUUUGUUAUGUACAUAUUUUUUUAUAUAUAUAUUUUUUGUAUAUAUUUUUUUAUAUUAUAUUGUAUAUAUUUUUUGGUGUAUUAUAGUGUUUAUUUAUUAAACUUGUUUAUAAAUAUUUUUUGUUUUAUAUUGGUCCGAGACCACAAUUGUCGUCCCUUGAUUUUCGUUUUUCACGAAUAUAGUCCCUAGUGUUCACAGUGGGUUACUUGCCAUUAAUUUUUAUACCCCUUCCUAAUUUAUUUCUCCAUGUGUAAUGCCUCAAAUUGCAAGUAGUGGGGUGAAAUUACACUGUUAAAAAAUUUGGGUCCAGAAUUUUAAAGGAAAGUAGUGGUUUGGUCCAGCUGAAAAAGGUUAAAAAUUAGCACUUCAAAAGCUGUCAAAAGAUUUCAAGACGCCCUAAACAUAAAAUUGUCCAUAUUUUGAGUUAGAGCUGAUGAAAUUUUUUAUAAUUUUGAUAUAAAUUGUCCCAAAAGUAGUACAACACACUGUAAAAAUUUCUUGGAGAAAGCGCAGGUGGGAUUUUUUUUAUUUUCAUUUAUGUUAUAAAAGAAAUGCACUAGUACGAAAUAAUUGUGGUCUCGGACCUAUUAACCCGAAUAAUUCAGUCCCUCCUCGUAAUUGAUCUCUCCUACUUGUGAGGGCCUGAAUUCCUACAUGAUAAAAACUCUUCAUGAAUCCUGGAUUUUGAUUGGUUCCCUAUAGAAGAGGUGACAUCAGCUCAAUUUUAUCAAGAUAGGUUAAUCCUGAGCUAAUUACGAUCGAAUGGUUGAUUGAAGAUUUUUCAUUGUCUAUGCGUUCAGGCAUUUAAAUGUAGUGAUCGUAGAUCAGUGGAAUAUAACAACUGAAUUAUUCGGGUUAAUUUUAGUAUUAUAUUUUUUAAACUAUUUUAUAUUUUUUUCUUUUUACCUGCAACUGUUGUACAGAUUGCAGGUAUACAAAUAGAUAUUUACUUAAAUUGUACCAUACCAAUAAUAUCUUAUUUUAUACUUCUAUGUUUUACAAAUAUUGCAAGUUCAUUAGUCGCC
rnacentral:lncRNA from 1 species